rnacentral:tRNA from 1 species
GCCCUGGUGGGCUAACAGUUAAGCACUUGGCUGCUAACCAAAAGGUUGGUGGUUUGAUCCCGCUCAGCGGCU